AUUGAACGCUGGCGGCAUGCCUUACACAUGCAAGUCGAACGGUAACGGGCCUUCGGGUGCCGACGAGUGGCGAACGGGUGAGUAAUGCAUCGGAACGUACCUUUCAGUGGAGGAUAACGUAGCGAAAGUUACGCUAAUACCGCAUAUUCUGUGCGCAGGAAAGCAGGGGAUCGCAAGACCUUGCGCUGAUUGAGCGGCCGAUGUCAGAUUAGCUAGUUGGUGAGGUAAAGGCUCACCAAGGCGACGAUCUGUAGCGGGUCUGAGAGGAUGAUCCGCCACACUGGAACUGAGACACGGUCCAGACUCCUACGGGAGGCAGCAGUGGGGAAUUUUGGACAAUGGGGGCAACCCUGAUCCAGCCAUGCCGCGUGAGUGAAGAAGGCCUUCGGGUUGUAAAGCUCUUUCGGCCGGGAAGAAAUCGCAUGGGUUAAUACCCUGUGCGGAUGACGGUACCGGCAUAAGAAGCACCGGCUAACUACGUGCCAGCCGCCGCCGUAACAC
rnacentral:rRNA from 1 species